UACGGGGGGGGCAAGCGUUGUCCGGAUUUAUUGGGCGUAAAGAGCUCGUAGGCAGCUCGGUAAGUCGGAUGUGAAACCUCCAGGCUCAACCUGGAGACGCCAUCUGAUACUGCCGUGGCUUGAGUCCGGGUAGAGGAGCAGGGAAUUCCUGGUGUAGCGGUGAAAUGCGCAGAUAUCAGGAGGAACACCAGCGGCGAAGGCGCUGCUCUGGGCCGGUACUGACGCUGAGGAGCGAAAGCGUGGGGAGCGAACAGG
rnacentral:rRNA from 1 species